rnacentral:rRNA from 1 species
UGGGGAAUCUUGCGCAAUGGGCGAAAGCCUGACGCAGCGACGCCGCGUGGGGGAAGAAGGCUCUCGGGUUGUAAACCCCUUUCAGGAGAGACGAAGCUACUCGGGUGAAUAGCCCAGAGGGUGACGGUAUCUCCAGAAGAAGCCCCGGCUAACUACGUGCCAGCAGCCGCGGUAAUACGUAGGGGGCAAGCGUUGUCCGGAUUUAUUGGGCGUAAAGAGCGUGUAGGCGGCCAUGUAGGUCCGUUGUGAAAACUCGAGGCUCAACCUCGAGACGCCGAUGGAAACCAUGUGGCUCGAGUCCGGAAGAGGAGAGUGGAAUUCCUGGUGUAGCGGUGAAAUGCGCAGAUAUCAGGAAGAACACCCGUGGCUAAGGCGGCUCUCUAGUACGGUACUGACGCUGAGACGCGAAAGCGUGGGGAGCGAAC